GGGCUCUUGGUCUAGCAGGUUAUGACGUCGCCUUGACAUGGCGGAGGUCCUGGGUUCAAAUCCCAGAGAGCCCA
rnacentral:tRNA from 1 species